UCUUGAAGCGGUCGACUGCCCAAACGCACAGAGUGGGACCACAGCAUUGUAGAUGGAAAAUGCCUCAACAUUGUGCAGCCUACGAUUGUAAAAACCGACGUACUGCACAAUCCAGACAACAGGGAAUUACCUUUCACAGGUUUCCCAAAGAGCAGAACCAGAGGAAGAAAUGGGAGGUCGCCCUCAGAAGAAAAGAUUUUAGAGCCACGGAUGAGUCUGUGCUCUGUUGCUAACACUUCAAGCCAGAGGAUUUCGACAGGACUGUCGGGCUUAGAUCUGAUGUCAUACCAUCCGUUUUCAACUUCCCAGCUCAUCUCCAAACAGCAGGACCACACCUUUGCACUGCCCAGCUGUCCAGUUGCUCUAAAGAAGAGACUGAUUCAGGCUACGGACAAUGUGAUCACACUGGAGCAGGAGAAGAGUAAUGCAAGGAAGCGUGAACUGAGGGCAAAGAGUCAUAUGAAGGAUGUCCUCCAAGAGCUGAGGGAGAAAAACUUGAUUAAUGAAGAACUGUAUGUUUGUUUGUUUUGUACAAAAAUGUUCAUAAAGGCUGAAGUGU